rnacentral:rRNA from 1 species
CAGCAGCGCGGUAAUACGGAGGGUGCAAGCGUUAAUCGGAAUUACUGGGCGUAAAGCGCACGCAGGCGGUUUGUUAAGUCAGAUGUGAAAUCCCCGAGCUUAACUUGGGAACUGCAUUUGAAACUGGCAAGCUAGAGUCUUGUAGAGGGGGGUAGAAUUCCAGGUGUAGCGGUGAAAUGCGUAGAGAUCUGGAGGAAUACCGGUGGCGAAGGCGGCCCCCUGGACAAAGACUGACGCUCAGGUGCGAAAGCGUGGGGAGCAAACAGGAUUAGAUACCCCUGUAGUCCCUGUCUCUUAUACA